rfam:Ricinus communis cultivar Hale ctg_1100012361406, whole genome shotgun sequence.
AAUUUAUGAUGUGGGCAUUGAAUAAGAUAAACUUUAAAUCUUUCUCAUACAUGAUAAAACGAUUCUCCCUCCUUUGGAGUAAAGUUGCAAAUUUUGGCCCUAUAAUC